UACAGAGGGGGGCAAGCGUUGUUCGGAAUUACUGGGCGUAAAGGGCGCGUAGGCGGCCUUCUAAGUCGAACGUGAAAUCCCCGGGCUCAACCCGGGAACUGCGUCCGAUACUGGGAGGCUUGAAUCCGGGAGAGGGAUGUGGAAUUCCUGGUGUAGCGGUGAAAUGCGCAGAUAUCUGGAGGAAUACCGGUGGCGAAGGCGGCAUCCUGGACCGGCAUUGACGCUGAGUGAGCGAAAGCCAGGGGAGCAAACGGG
rnacentral:rRNA from 1 species